UACAGAGGUGGCAAGCGUUGUUCGGAAUUACUGGGCGUAAAGCGUGCGUAGGUGGUGAGUUAAGUCUGUCGUGAAAGCCCCGGGCUCAACCUGGGAAUGGCGAUGGAUACUGGCUCGCUAGAGUGCGGUAGAGGAGAGUGGGAUUCCCGGUGUAGCGGUGAAAUGCGUAGAGAUCGGGAGGAACACCCGUGGCGAAGGCGGCCAUCUGGACCAGUACUGACGCUGAGGCACGAAAGCGUGGGGAGCAAACAGG
rnacentral:rRNA from 1 species